CGCGGGGCUGCGCGCGGGGAGCGGCACUCGCCGGGGCAACGCGGGCGGGCAGCGGCAGCGCGGGGCCAGAAGACUGUGCCAAAGAAGACUUACUCAGAUGACAUCACCUUUGGACUACUAAUGCUACCCACCCACUCUACAAGGCACAAUGUAUUUCUAGGUAAUUUAACAAAUUCAGGGAGAAGCCCAUUCUUUCAUUUGCAAACUCUUCUGGAAAUCUAUUUGGAUCUUGUAUACUGAACAUCAGUGA